rnacentral:misc_RNA from 1 species
GAUGAAGAAGGUAGCGAAAUGCGAUAAGUUGUGUGAAUUGCAGAAUUCAGUGAAUCAUCGAAUCUUUGAACGCACAUUGCGCCCCUUGGUAUUCCAUGGGGCAUGCCUGUUCGAGCGUCAUUUGUACCUUCAAGCUUUGCUUGGUGUUGGGUGUUUGUCCCUCCGGACUCGCCUUAAAGUCAUUGGCAGCCAGUGUUUUGGUUUUGAAGCGCAGCACAAGUCGCGAUUCAAGGCUAUCCGCCCGCUUCCACAAGCCUUUUUCACUUUUGACCUCGGAUCAGGUAGGGAUACCCGCUGAACUUAAGCAUAUCAAUAAGCGGAGGA